rnacentral:rRNA from 1 species
GAUGAACGCUGGCGGCGUGCCUAAUACAUGCAAGUCGAGCGAACAGACGAGGAGCUUGCUCCUCUAACGUUAGCGGCGGACGGGUGAGUAACACGUGGAUAACCUACCUAUAAGACUGGGAUAACUUCGGGAAACCGGAGCUAAUACCGGAUAAUAUAUUGAACCGCAUGGUUCAAUAGUGAAAGACGGUUUUGCUGUCACUUAUAGAUGGAUCCGCGCCGCAUUAGCUAGUUGGUAAGGUAACAGCUUACCAAGGCAACGAUGCGUAGCCGACCUGAGAGGGUGAUCGGCCACACUGGAACUGAGACACGGUCCAGACUCCUACGGGAGGCAGCAGUAGGGAAUCUUCCGCAAUGGGCGAAAGCCUGACGGAGCAACGCCGCGUGAGUGAUGAAGGUCUUCGGAUCGUAAAACUCUGUUAUUAGGGAAGAACAAAUGUGUAAGUAACUAUGCACGUCUUGACGGUACCUAAUCAGAAAGCCACGGCUAACUACGUGCCAGCAGCCGCGGUAAUACGUAGGGUGCGAGCGUUAUCCGGAAUUAUUGGGCGUAAAGAGCUCGUAGGCGGUUUAUCGCGUCUGUCGUGAAAGUCCGGGGCUUAACCCCGGAUCUGCGGUGGGUACGGGCAGACUAGAGUGCAGUAGGGGAGACUGGAAUUCCUGGUGUAGCGGUGGAAUGCGCAGAUAUCAGGAGGAACACCGAUGGCGAAGGCAGGUCUCUGGGCUGUAACUGACGCUGAGGAGCGAAAGCAUGGGGAGCGAACAGGAUUAGAUACCCUGGUAGUCCAUGCCGUAAACGUUGGGCACUAGGUGUGGGGACCAUUCCACGGUUUCCGCGCCGCAGCUAACGCAUUAAGUGCCCCGCCUGGGGAGUACGGCCGCAAGGCUAAAACCCAAAGGAAUUGACGGGGGCCCGCACAAGCGGCGGAGCAUGCGGAUUAAUUCGAUGCAACGCGAAGAACCUUACCAAGGCUUGACAUGUUCUCGAUCGCCGUAGAGAUACGGUUUCCCCUUUGGGGUGGGUUCACAGGUGGUGCAUGGUUGUCGUCAGCUCGUGUCGUGAGAUGUUGGGUUAAGUCCCGCAACGAGCGCAACCCUCGUUCCAUGUUGCCAGCACGUCGUGGUGGGGACUCAUGGGAGACUGCCGGGGUCAACUCGGAGGAAGGUGAGGACGACGUCGAAUCAUCAUGCCCCUUAUGUCUUGGGCUUCACGCAUGCUACAAUGGCCGGUACAAUGGGUUGCGAUACUGUGAGGUGGAGCUAAUCCCAAAAAGCCGGUCUCAGUUCGGAUUGGGGUCUGCAACUCGACCCCAUGAAGUCGGAGUCGCUAGUAAUCGCAGAUCAGCAACGCUGCGGUGAAUACUAUCGCGGGCCU